GUGAGAGUCGGGGUACACCCUGGACUGGUUGACAAUGUCACAGAGCACAAUCAGUGACGUACGCCGAGCUUCAUGGCAGGGCAAAGGAGAGCAUUUCUCAGGCCCAGAUGAUGUUUACCAAGGGUUCAGCUCCACGACAUCGUAUCCCAAAAGGCAUUUUCAUGCUGUAUGACAAAGAAGUGGAAAAUGUCAGAGCGGAACUGGUUUCCGCAGUCUGGAAGUCGCCGCCUGCCGUUGCCGCACAUGGAGCAGGAAUUCCGGGAGGUCUGUCACCUGCACAAACGAGUGAACUGAAUACAACAGUAUGAGGAAGAGAAUUCUGUUCAUUUGUUUGGUGCUGAAUGAAUGAUGCCAGGUGCCUCCUGCACUGGACAGACCCCACAAGCUGUUCGGGUCCAGUUCCAUCCUGUUUACUCCAUCA